UUUAAAGAGUGAAAUAUUGGUCCCAUUGAAAUCAAUGGCAAAACUCCUCUUGACUUCAAUGCAGCCAGGAUUUCAUCUCUAGACUUGUAAGGUUGGGACAAUUCUGAAUUAGGGACAGAGGCCUUUAUGUUUUUUCUCUCUCACGCACAAUAUCUCAGAGCAAACAUUUUAUUUUCUUCUUUUUCAGCCUAUCGUAAAGCCAACCAUUCCACCACCUCCAGUUCCUACUGCCAAACCAAGUUUUUCUCCAGGCAUGGGCAAUUCUGUAGCACAGACGAAGUCCACUCCUUCACCAGUCCCUAAGGGCAAACCUGCACCCCCACCACAGGCUUUAAAACCACCAGUCAAACCCAGAGUAUGAAGCUACUGAAGAAGAAUUGAUCGAGAUUCCUGACAUUCUGAGGGACUGUUUCCAUCUCUGUUCACCUUGUGGUUCCUGCCUUUGCCAAGGGGAAAUGAUGAUAGUGCCAAUAACUUUUUUUUUGUAAAUGGACUAGCAAUUUCCUUGAAAGAAAAUGUGUUUUUUCAAAUAAUGUUGUAGUCCUUGGAUAGUGACAUCAGCCUGCCAUUCCUGGCUUUCCUGAUGAAAAGCUAGGGGAAUAGCAAACUGCACUGAGGGGUAGACCAUAUGUGAGUUAUUAAACCAGCUCAGUAUAUGUUUUAGGUUGGACAUUAAAAAAAAACAUCUUAACUGUCAGGGUGGUGGUUAAGCACUGGAAUAAAUUGCUUAGGGAGGCUGUAGAAUCUCUGUCA
rnacentral:lncRNA from 1 species